rnacentral:rRNA from 1 species
CAAUAGCGUAUAUUAAAGUUGUUGCGGUUAAAAAGCUCGUAGUUGGAUCUCGGCAGGCAGGGGGUGGUUCGCUCUUAGCGCUACUGCCCCAUUUGCCUGUGUGAUUGGCGGAGGUUUCGGGGUGCUCUUCGUUGAGUGACCCGGGGCGCCGUCAGGUUUACUUUGAAAAAAUUAGAGUGCUCAAAGCAGGCUUUUCACGCUUGAAUAUUCGUGCAUGGAAUAAUGGAAUAGGAACUCGUUUCUAUUUUGUUGGUUUUCGGAAAUCGAGUUAAUGAUUAAUAGGGACAAUUGGGGGCAUUAGUAUUCAGACGACAGAGGUGAAACUCUUGGACCGUCUGAAGACUAACUACUGCGAAAGCAUUUGCCAAGAGUGUUUUCAUUAA